AUUGCUGCGGCCGCUGUUUGUUAUUAAACUGCCCAGAGAAAGGGCUUCGAGUAAAAACACCAACUUUCCAGUCGGGGCGGCGCAGGUCCCCGGGCCCUGGAAAGUUCUGGGACGGCCGAGGUCUCCCCGGACACCCGCACCCACGCCCCCGUCGUGCCCUUUCUGGCUUUUGGCUUCCUCUCCUCGAUUUCCCUUUUGUGCGGCCCCGGGCAGCUUCCUCAGGCCCCGCCGCCCCCACCUGGCCGCCCUGGGAGCUGUUCCUCCCCCAGCAGCAGGAGCAUCCAGCUCGGGUUUUAUUACCUCCCGAGACACUCGAGGAAGCCUCAGGUGGGUUUCCAUGUCAACCUUCACUGAAAUCCAAACAUUUGGCGUUCUCAAAGGCAGUUUAACCUCUGCCACCAUUUUUUUUUCAAAGCUUAAAAAAAAACCUAGAACUUUCAAAAGCCGCAGGCUUCUGGGGGUUUCUAGUCAGAGGGUGAUAACACAUCUUGAGACAGGAUAUGUAUAAUUUGUUUGGUUUCACGUUUAUCCUCACAAAGCUAAACAGUAAUGACUGAGAGCUAUGAAAACACUUAGGUAAGGAGAGGGGCUAGAGCAGAGAUAAAAGGGAUAAUUGGAAACAGAGGCGAAGCCUCCAAGUUGCACCUUGUUGAAUACUGUCACAGCCGGGCAGGCCGGGGAGCUCAUGGCAGGAUGCGGCAUCUCUUAAUUCUGGGCACUCCGCAGCCUCUCCUCUUCCAAGGUUUACUUACGCAAGCUUAGCUGCAAUUUUCCACAGAUACUCGUCCUGGUUCCGGGCCACCUUCCCCAGUAAGAGACCUCCUGAGGCGGGAGCUGGGGGUUGAACAUGUGGUGAACACAGGUUCCAAGCUUUGGAACAGGCCACCUGGAAAUGGGAGAUAACCUGUUGAGAUAAGGGAUUUACUGAGGCCAGGGCGCACUGUAGGGAGCGGGGAGCAGAAGGAGUGCGGCUCCACAUGUCCAGUCGUGGGAUGCAACUGGGAGGUAAUAUAUGAGUCUAGUGAGACCACACGGGGAAUACUAUGUUCCUCAUUGCCUCCCAAGGAAGAUGCACAUAAUGAGCUGGCUGCCUUUCAGAGAAGAGCAAUUAGGAUGCUUAAGGGGCCACAGGGAGUGACUUAGGGGGAGAGAUUAAAAGAAUUAAGUAUGUAUACCUUGGCUGAGCUCAAAGCACAGGGAAUGUGGAAACUCUAUAAGCAUCCUCCGAAUAUAAACAUAAGGAGAAGUGGAAUUGUUUCUCAUGGUCCCUGAGGGAUGGAACUGGAAGUAAUAGGGUAGAAGAAAAGAAAACUUAACUACCUGCUAGAGAAAGCUGCUGAGCAGUCCCAGAUACCAAAAGUGUCAGAGUCACACCUAAUAUUUUUAGAAAUAAAGUCAACAAAGGAAGACACGACAUGAUAGGAGAAAAAUACGUUUAGAUAACAGGGACUGGUCUCACAGGGAUGCUUUGAAGGGGUAAGAAAAUAACACAAGUCAGUUUCUUUUAGGGAGUAUCUGAAACCUUUGAAGGCUGCCUACUAACUAAAGUUUAUUACCAGGUGUUUUUGCCUGGCAUUCAAAGCCCUCUCCAUCUGGCCAAGCUUACCCUCCUAAAAUAAUCUGUCAUCAGUCCCCAACAUAAGCACAUCUCCUGAGUGCUCCUGGUGUAGUUCCUCCUUUGCGCGUGAAAUUCCUCCAACCUGAAAUUCCUCUAACCCGAAUUUCCUCUCUCCAAUCCCAGUGUCCAGCUAUUCAAGUCUUACCCACUUUUUAGGGUCUACUUAUAUCCUACUUCCCCUGGCUACCCCAAUCCAUAAUGCUCCUGCUGUCUUCCUCCUCCUAGAACUCAUGUUGGUACCUGUCAUACAUUACUUGCAUUGUUAGCUGAUGUAUUCUGAUCUUAUCUGGUCUUACAGAUUGUGAGCUUCUUAGAAACUAGAGGGCAUGUCCUCUCCCUUCCACUUCCCAUCACUUUUUAAUUCUCCGUGCUAGCUUUCAUAACCAUUAUGAACCAUAAUUCACACAAUAAUAGGAUUCUUUCCUGGUUUCUUCCUCUCUCUUGCUACUUCUUAGUUUUCUCUGAUCUUCCUUUGGAUGUUGGUGCCCCCAGAGUUCCUCCUCUUUUCUCACUCUCCAUUCUUCCUGGAAGAUCACAUCCAAUCGGGGGCUGCAGUGACCCUGCCAGUGCUGAUGAUUCCCAAAUCUCUGUCCAGCUUGGCUGUUUCUUCUGUGCAUCAGGCCCUUAUUGGGCAUCUCAAAUUGGCCGUCCCAUGUGCUCUUCAGCACUCCUAUGGUACAAAUCUGAACUCACUUUCUCUUUCAAACCAUCUCUUUCUAUUCUUGUGUUUCCUGUCUCAGAGAAUGGCUCCCACAUCCUCCUAUUUGCCCAAGCUAGAAAUCUAAGUGUCAUCCUUGGCUCAUUGCUGCCUUUCCCCCACAAUCAGUCAAUCACCAAAUUCAGUUAAUUCUACCACCAGAAUAUCUGAAGUGCUUUUGUGUCAAUUCUAUCACCUGAAUAUCCAGAGUGCUUUUGUGUCUGCCCGGGA
rnacentral:lncRNA from 1 species